rnacentral:rRNA from 1 species
UACGUAGGGUGCAAGCGUUGUCCGGAAUCAUUGGGCGUAAAGCGCGCGUAGGUGGCUUCGUAAGUCCGUUGUGAAAGUCAAAGGCUCAACCUUUGAAAGCCGAUGGAUACUGUGGAGCUAGAGUACGGAAGAGGCGAGUGGAAUUCCUGGUGUAGCGGUGGAAUGCGCAGAUAGUCAGGAGGAACACCGAUGGCGAAGGCAGGUCUCUGGGCAUUAACUGACGCUGAGGAGCGAAAGCAUGGGGAGCGAACAGGA